rnacentral:rRNA from 1 species
AUGCUAGGAGGGAAUCAAAUAAUAUGUAUGGACGGACAUUCUCUCACUGAAGCACACUACACAGUUCUACAGAAUUCCGCCUUGGUGGCUCCGUACAUGGACGAACACAAGAAUUUUCUACGCUCCAAACACCUGGAGCGGUCUGAUGAGGUGGUGGUUAUGCUCGAAGCAACCAUCCAUUGCGCCUCGAUUCCAGCGGGCUAUGCUCGUGUCUUGGUUGAUGAGGUGGUGGACCCAUAUUCGGGGCUAGAGCUUGACAUUCCUGGAGGUGACGACGAGCACACACUCGGAGAGGCCAUACAUCGUAUCAUCCUAUGGAGAAAGGAUUGCAUCAUCUUUCGAAGUCCACCGACACCGCGUCUGCCGACUCCUCCUCGAAGUCCGCCACCGUGUCAGCAGACUCCCGCUCCUCCAAGUCCACGAACGCGUGAGCAGACUCCUGCUUCAAGUCCGGCACAGCGUCAGGCCACUCCUCCUGUUUCAAGUCCGACACCGUGUCAGGCCACACCUCCUGCUUCAAGUCCGGCACAGCGUCAGGCCACACCUCCUGCUUCAAGUCCGACACCGUGUCAGGCCACACCUCCUGCUUCAAGUCCGCCACAGCGUUAG